GGGGAUUUAGCUCAGUGGUGUAAGCGCCUGCCUUGCAAGCAGGCAGUUCUGGGUUCGAUCCCUGGUACCA
rnacentral:tRNA from 1 species